rnacentral:misc_RNA from 1 species
GGCCCCGAACACUCCCCUCCUUAGCAUUUUGCAUGUAAUUUGCUCAUUCAUCAGAGAACUCACAUAUUUGGUGUGAUAGGCAUUUCGCACCGAUGCGGCCAGCAGACAGAUCUCAGCAAUGGCAAAACAUAUCCUGAAAUGUCCAUGCAAUGCAAUCCACCAGAAACAAAGUUUUGAGUUUGAUUUUCAUCCUCAGCAAGUGAUGAAAAGAGUAAUUGCCCAAGCCCUCGAACUGCUGGGUCGCAAGGCUCUCCCACAGCAUAAGCAUCGACUUGCCACCAUUACAAUCACUUGGCUAGCAAAUAGGACCAGAAGUGAACCCACACCUAAUCCAGUUGCAAUAUCAGAAUCAUAGGCACAGAAUUUAGAAUUGCCUGAUUGAACGACCGUGGCAGUGGUUCUUCUCUGCUCUGCAGCAACAGCAAGUGCAAAAGCAACAAGAUCAAAGAUAAACACCACAAUCAAAACGAUCAUACCCAUGAUUCAAAGAUCCAGCAACAGCUCGCAAAUGGGUUUUAGUUGAAGAGGGUUAUAAGAAGAAGAAGGAAUGGGAAAAUCAAAGGGCCGUGAGCUCUGCAAUAACUUCGGCUUUUUG